rnacentral:lncRNA from 1 species
GAAGAUGAUAUUGUUGCUGGAAUUUUUAGAGGAAGUCUUGCUAGAAAUCUUAUUGUUGGAGUACUUGCAUUAAUCUUUGGAAGUUUUGUUGGGUAACUUGGCUUGGUGGCCAGAAUUCUUAUUGUUUUUCUUAGAGUUUGAUUGGAAUUUGACUACAAUUUUAUACUUUGGGAUGACUUUUUCAAUUUGGGAUGUUUUAUUAUGUAUUGAUGGAGAUCACAUUGGAUAUUAGAUGUAUUUCUUUUUAAAUUAAUUUUUGGAUUGAAUGAAUGUUAAUUGAUAUUAAUUUUUUUAUGAUAUUUGUUUUAUUAAUUAAUUAAAUUUGUAAACAUAAAUUCAUCAAUAAAUUGUAAUUAUAAUAUAAUUUUAGAAAAAAAUCAAAACUUUAUGAUGGAAAAGCCAUCAUAUAUUCUAUUAUAAAUAAUUUACCGCAAUAAUAUUUUUUUAAAUAAUAAUAGAAUUUCUCACUAAAAAUUAAAAAAAAUGGCGCAAAAAUUUAAAUAAAUUUAAUUAUUUUUUAUAUUAAAAUAUUAUGUAACAGAUAUAUGAUUAUGAAAUGCUAUUAUAAAUUAAUGACAGUGACAUAGAUGACGAAUGAACUGUCUGUCAUACAGCCCCUUUUAUGACAGUUAUUUCCCGUCAUCUAUUACUUGUUUUCUUGUAGUGAUAGAUGAUCAACAUUGUUGAGAGAGAAUAAAGGUUGCAGCUAUCGAUGAUCGACACUGUUGAUAGAGAAGAGAGGUUACUGAUGUUGACAAUUGGUACAUCAAAAUGAAAAGCUAUAACAGAAUUGUUGAUUUUUUUUUCUGAAUUUAAUCAAAUCAUACCUUUUUUAAAUGGUUUAUAGAAUAAAAUCCAAAAAACUAACCUAAUUUUACUAUUUACCCAACCCAAACCAUUUUAUUUGGCUUUUAUUUAGGUUGAACCAUGUGUUAUGGGUUUUAUGCCCCCCAGUCACAAGAAAGUAAUUUGAAAAUAAGAAACUUACAAAAGGAGAAUUUCAUGGAUAACGUUUUCAUUGCUGGUGGCUGAACCAAAAGAGAAUGUGACGAUUUCAUUAAGAAUUUCAUGGAUAACGUUUUCAUUAAAAAUAUAUAAAGGUUUUAUGUACUGUUAAAUAUGUGUGUGUCACACAUGAGCUACAAACUCACAUGUGGAUUUUUUUUUAAUAUUUAGGCCCUAGCUCACAUAAUAUUGGGCUCAGAGAUUGUGAGCCCUUGCUCGACCCUUAGCCCUUAAAUUUAGGCCAAAGCCUAACCGAUUCAGGUUAGGCUAAUUAGGUCGAGUAAUAGAUCGAACUUUUUUGUCAUUCCCGCCUUUUUCUCUUAAGGAUCACCAUCACCCUUAUUACAUAAUUUCAUCACCACCAAGUUUACCAUUAGGAUCAUUAUUCAUCCAUCAUCACCACUUGCUACAUAUACUAAGUUUUUGUUAUUGAGUUUUCUUAAAUUUUAUAAUAAAUGGCGAGUUUUAUUGUUUUUUAUUAAAGUGAUUUUAAAUUUGUACGAUAAAUAAAUGAAAUAAACCAUUGUUUUCCAAUUUAAGAAAAAGAAAAAACCACUAAUUUCAAUAACAAAUUAAUUCACUUUCAAUAGUCGAGGGUGAAUGAGAUUUUUUUUAAUUUUUUAAUUUGUUUUUUAUUUACUAUCAUUCCAUUUUUUUCUUCUUGCUUUGAUGUUUCAUAUUCAAUAAUAUGAAAUAAUUUUUUUUCACAUUUGAAAUUUAAUUCCUUUGUUUGUUAAAAAAUUUCAACUUUUUUUAAUCGACAUACUUUCAUUUUUAGAAAUUGAUUGUGAAAGUUCGAACCUAAUAACUAAGCAGUAUAUUGUUUGCUUCAAGAUACAACCCGUUAGGAUUUUGUUACUGGGCUUUUCUACUCAAAACAUAUCUGCUUAGUUAGGAGAGCUCGUGACUUAUAAAUUGGUCUAAUAAUUCACUCACUAGCAAUGUAGGAUAUUACAUACUUAUCCUCUUGAGCACCUGCAUCCUCAUGAGGGUCAUUGGAAAUAGAAUGGAAUGAAAUCACACCAUAACAUAUCUACCCUUCUUAAGUUGACUUUAAUUCCAAUUGUAACACCCUAAAUCUAACAUUUUUGGACAUGUGAUAAAGAGGAAGGUUACUUGCAAGUUAAUAUCCUUACACAAAAAUCUUAAAUUGAAAUACCUUAAAUUUUAUUCAAACUAAUCCAAAAAUAUCCAUGAAGCAACUCCAAUGCUAGACUUCAUCUCCGAAUUCCAAAUAUCUAAACAAAAGUCUUCAAAUGUAAGCAAAACUUGUAACUAGCUAUCUAUCUGUAAAAAUAAAUAGCUAAACGAUGAGCAGUCAACUCGAUAAGUAAAACCAUUCCUAAUACACUAUGGUUAUUAUGUACCAAAAGUAUUAUAGGUCGUUUAUAUCAAAACAUAUAUUAGAAAUGAUAAUUUUGAGAAUUAACAUAUUAUAAUAGAAGAGCAUAAUGAAUCGAGGAAACAAAUCUUAUAACACACGCACACACAUAUAGAAAAUCAUAUGGUUAGCUUAUAUCACAUAGUGUCACCUAUACUCUUAGCGAUCCGGCCAAAAAUAAAAUCAAAAUCAAAAUAUUGUGUUUAUGAUUUGAACAAAAACCCAUUAUUGGUCUAAAACACAUAUAUCAUAUAUUAUGAUCAGAAUCAUAAUAACUAUGGGCAAUGAACUGAAACAUUGAAAUUCACUUUUUCAUAUGUAACAAUUUGCAUGUGGCAUUUUGUAUUGUGUGUGAUAUUUCAUAUCACUUUGGCCUUCAAGAGAUGGCCCUCACACAGCUUCAAGAGGUGGCUCUUGUAUAGUUUACUGUGAAUUACCUUCACAUAUAUAAACAAAACAUUCAUGUCAAAUUCAUAAAAAAUCAUAAAAAUAAUUUUGGCUUGCAAAAAAAUUUCAUUGUGCAUAUUGCACACAGUUUCAUAAAACAAAAUCAUUUAGCAAAAAGCAAAGAAUGAUGAGAUCGCUCUAGUACAGAAACUAUCUUAUUCACCAACCUUUUAUCUGUUUAUUUAAUAAAAAUAUAAUUAUAAAUAUCUUCUUUUGUUGCCAUUAUUUUGAAUCCGUCACAUCAAAAAAUAAGGUUAGAAAUUCUAUUUUUCUUGUUUAUUUUCUCACUAACAUUGCCAAUAACAAGUGUGUAAGUAUUGUCAAAUACUCAUUUUUCUUCUUUUGAUGGAUACAUAGUUAAACACAACAUAAGAUGAAUUAGUGAUAUAAAUGUUGUAUAGUAUUAUGUCUAAACAUGGAAUAGAUUAAGUACGAUACGAACAAAAUACUUACACUGGAAUGACCUAAUAUGCCAUAAAUUCAAUACAUCAAUAUUCAAAUAAUUACAACCACUUAUAAUCUAAUAUCUCCAUUAAAUAUGUCAACAAUAAUGUUCCUCUUGAAGUGUUGCCAUGGCUAGUUGGCUACUAUUAAAAUCAAGUUGAGAACAUUAAAUACAUCGCAAACAUCAACAUAAACACUUCUCAAUUAAUAUUGCGGGAUCUUGUAGUGACACACCCUUAACUAGAGAUGGUGAAUAGGUCAGGUAGCAUAUGGUACGACAGGAGCAUGCCACGUUCUGUACAACAAGGAAUGGCAUGAGUACAUUUUUUGUUCGAGCUGGAUUGGGUUGAGAAUUUAAAUCACGAGGGCCUUAAAACCAUGACACAAUUAAAGGUGGCUAAAGCAUGUCACAUGAAAAACCUCGUAAUAAACAAGUUUCAUUGGUGGACUGGCAUGCGGCCCAUGGGCCAUCAACAACAUAUGGAUCAAAGUAUAUCAAAGUAAAAUUUUUUAAUGAAAAGUAAAUAUAAGAUGUUAUGAUUUAACAAAUAAUUUAAAAUAUAAUAUUUUAAUAUAUUUAUUAUCAUAGGUUUUUUUAAAAUUAAUUUAAGCCUUAGUUUCAAAAAUAAAAUCUAAUUGUUUUAUGUUUAUAAUUUAUUAAAUGGAUAAAUGAUAUAAUGAUUUUGAUAAAUAAAAUUAUAAAUAUCAUGAUUUUAUAAAUGAUAAAUCUAAACUUUUAUGACUUUAGUAUUUCAUUUAUGAAACAAUAAAUUAGUCAAACGAAAUAUGUUUCAUUUCUGAACGAAAUAUUUUUCACCAUUUCCACAUAGAAAAUAAACUUAUGAAUGAAAUAUGUUUUAUGAUAAAUCAGAAGUUGUAUUGUCAUCAAAUAGAGUUCAAGUGCAAGUACGAUAUCAGUAGUUUGAAGAAAAUUAAGUAUAAUUUGCAUCAUUACAAUUGAUAGUACAUUCCAAUUAGGUUGGCCUUCACUGAACUAUCUCAUUUGCAAUUUCAUAACCUUUCCACUAGUAAAAUUUAUUCCACAAAAUUACAAGAAAAGAGGUCUUUAGUCAUUGAGGUAAGUUCAAUGUUCACUAGUGUGCAUAACCUUGAUCCACUUCCUCUUGAUCAAAAUCCAAACUCUCAAUUUGUUUCAUUCAAAUAUUUAGCCAAUCUUGUUGCAUUCGGUUUUCAGCAUCUUCUCGAUCAUUAAAAACAUCAAAGAGUCUAGUGUCUUUGAUUACAAAAUGAACCAACAUUCAUCUAGAAUUUUGUUACUUGCACUAAAAGCUAACUCUAAUCCUACAAUUAAAACUAGAGGGGUUAGUAGAUCACAUGUCGUAAUGGUAGUAUAGUGGCAAAAAAAAGAUGUCUCACCUAUUCAAAAUUCUAAAAUAUCAAAUUUUUUCCAUUGUGAAAGAGAUACUAAAUCUUCAAGAUUGGCAUCACAAUAUUUUGGAAUUCAUUAUGAUUAGUAUCAAUAAUAAAGGCAAUACCCUUUCCUUUGAGCAACAAAAGUUGAGCUAGAACUCUGAGAAUUUUGUGCUUAUUGAACAUUAGAAUAUAGCUUGAUCCAAAUUUAUUUUGAUAAAAAUUAAAAAAGUUCAUUCAUAUAAAACAUAAUUGCAUUAAAAUUUGUAUCGAGUCCUGUUAGCAAAUUUCAGUAGUACCAUCAAUCAAAAGUUUUCACCAACUUCUUUGAUUGAAGGAUCUAAUACUACUGCAAAUAUAAAUAAGUGCGGGAUAUCUUUCCAAUAUUUUUGAAAGUUUUCCUCUAUAGCAUCAUAAAUAUUUCUAAACAUAAUAUUCUCUUUAAAAGUCUUAAAAGAAUCACUCAUAUUAUAAAAUGACUUAACACUUUAGAUGAAGUAGGCUCAUAAAUAGUGGACAUGCAAGAAUAGCCUCAUAAAAUACCUUAAAAAAAUCUAGAAAUUUACAUGCAACAUUCCAAUAAUAAUCAGUGACAUGACAAUCUUCAUCAUUCAUUCUUUCAUUGUAAAAAUUAAAAAUUACUUUAAAAUAUUUUUGACAAGAAAGCAACAACAAAUAUGUAGAAUUCCAACAAACUUUCAUGUCAAGGUUGAAUCUCCUUUUUUCAAUUAAAAACUUUUCAGCAUAGAUAAAAAUUAUUGAUUUCUUAAAAGUGCUCUAAUAUAUAAAAUGACUACUCAAUUUUUUUUUUAAAUGAGGAUUCAUAUGGGUCAUACUAGCUUGAAUAAUUAAAUUAGUUAUAUGACAUGCACAUCUAACAUGAAAAAUUUUUUAGCCACAUGCAGAUGUAAGAAUAGAAAUAUUCCACAAAACAUACCAAUUUUAUAGUAUUGGCUGACGCAUUGUCAAGCAAUAUGCCAAAACAUUUAUCAAAUGAUAUGCCAAGAAGUUUAUCACCAAUUUAAUUAUAUCUUAAAAUAGAUAUUAUGACAGAGUAAAUUACUAGAACCAAUAUUAGGAUAUUCUAAUUCAAAGAAUGCAAGCAAUUUUUUUCAAACCUCCAUUUUCCACUAAUCUUAUGAACAGAAUGUGAGGUCAUACAAAAAUAACCAAUUGUAUAAAUACCAAUUCAACAAUAAGAAGAAAUUAAAAUGACAUCAUUAAAAUUGAUAAAAGUAUUAGUCAAGAUUUUUUUAAUCUUAUGAAAUUUUUUGAUCAAAUCAUGUUCUAAUGUAUUUAUAGGCACUUUCAUAAGUUGAGACUGAACCUACCUUUGUAAAAAAUUCAUAAAUUGAUCAUCUUUUACAAAUGUUAAAGGUUACUCUACUGUAGCAAUAUGCAAAAAGUUUGUUAAUCGUUCAUCUUUUAUGAAUGUUAAAGAUUGGUCUACUAUAGUAAUAUACCUAGCCAAUCUUUAUACAUGUUCUAUUGUGAAUAUCAUAAUAAUGUUCUACUAUCAAAAGGCCCAUAACCAUAUUGUGAAAUUUGGGUUGUUUUAGUGCUUAUGGACGGUGUUUUGCCUGGCAAGUUUUAAUAUUUCAUUUGAGAUGUUUGGGUCCACUUUCACUUUUGGUAGUUAAAACAGCUUGACGAAAUGUGCAGAUUGCUUCAUCCGUCAUUUCACCUUUUUGUUCAAAUAUUUUUCCAAACUAAAAUAUGAACAAACAAUUGAUGUUCUUGGUCGUUAGGUAUUGAUGACAGUAGUAAAUGUAGAACCGUUAUAUCUUGCUUGAGAAGUAGGAGAAGAUCACUCAGAUGAAACCACAAAAUUGUCAUGAAAGUAAGGCAUUUUAUGUAAACAUUUUUUUUGGUAAAUAAAAGUGCCAUUGGUGUGUUGUACAAGGCAAAAAAGAAAAAAAAUGAAUAACCAAAUGAGACAUGAGCCAAGUGAUAAAGUAAGCAAUUGAAUGAAAUUUAACUUCUGUUUGGGAUUUGAAUUAAAAAAAAAGUUGCUUAGUAUUCUAGGAGAGUUCAGAGGAGAUUUGGUCCAUUGGGAGAGUUAAUGAGCUAAGAUAAGAUAAAAAUUGAAAAUGAUUAAGUUGUAUAAAUAUAAUAAAAAAGAAAAUAUAACAAUGGUCCAAAUUUUGACGAACAUAAUUUGGCAGACGCGUAAAACUUCCUUGCUUCUUACAAAACUGUAAAUAGAGUCGUUGCAUUUAUUUACUUUUUACUUUUGUUUUAAAUUCUUGUAUUCAUUGGGUCAGUAAUCAAAUCAAUUAAAAAAAAUAUAUAGUUUUUUAUCACAAUUCUUUAUUAUCAAAUAAUCAAAAAAAUUAUUUUUUGAUCGAUGCAUGGCUGUAUAAAUUUUGUAGUCCAAUCAAUUUCAAUUUUUUAGUCUGUGAAAUUUGGAAAUUGCGUGCAAUUAUGCAGAGUUGCUGACGAUGCAAGUAAUUGAAAAAUAAAAACUGUGAGCAUUGUGUUUGUGUGGUCACAUCAAUCAAAUUGGUUGUACAAUUCAAUACUAUUUUGUAUUCUUCACUUCUUCUAAUUUUUUGAUUAUUUUUUUAAUAAUUUAAUAGUCUUUUCUACUAAUGUCUCGCUUCCCUCCACAAGAUCAGAACGCAAUUUUUAAUAUUUCACUAAAUAUUUCCUACCUACUAAAGUAACCAUACCAAAUUUUGUCUUUUUACUACUAACUAAUAACUAUAUAUACGCUCAUCAAUACUUGCACUUGUAAGCUGUGACUCAUGAAUAUUAGUAUAAUACUAGAAUUAUUCUUUUUUUUCAAAUGUUUCCUCCAUUCCAAAAUGACUGUAGAUCCUCAAGAACACAAUGCGAAUGUAGAUGAAUCUUGACACCUUUGAGAACACGGUAUCAACCCAGUAGGACCUCAAAAAAAUAACAACAACAUUAAAUCAAUCAAGCAUGCAUUAUUUAAAUGAACUUUUUUUUAACAUUUUACUACAAUAAGAGAAGAAAUAUUAGAUAAUGGCUUUCAUCGAGUGCAACUAUUAUCAUAGAGAAGUUAUUGACUCAGAUAUUUCUAGCACAAUAGGUUUACAUUGUCACAUGCCAACUCAUUUAAUUCACCAUAGAGACAAAAUUAGAAUUAUUUGUUUACUGCACUUGUGAUUAGUAAACAUUAUCUCGUGAUUAAUAUUCGAUAUUUUGGUAUUUGUAGUCGUGAGUUGUGACUUAUGACUUGUUAUAAUUGAUAUUUGGAAGUUCUGACAUUUUUUAAUUAGUAUUCUAGGGUUUUAGUUUUAAUUUUUAUUAAUCAUUACUAUGGUCUAUGUAAUUAGAUUUAUCUAUAGUUGUAUUAUAACUCGUAAUUGCAAAGUUAUAUUAUAUAGUUGUGUUAAUGAAAUUUUAAUUCUUAUGUUCUAAUUUGAAACUUGUAAGCAUUAAGGUUAUUAUGGACUAUGAUUUAUGACUCGAUAUAAUUCUAAGUUAACAAUUAAAUGUUAACUCUUAAAAAAAUUCAUUAUUGUUGUUGUUAAGAAUUAUAAUUCCGUACGCUCUAACUUAGUAGUUAGUAUUAUGUUCUCUUACUACUAAAUUUGACUAAAGUCAUGUAGGUCCCAAAAAAUAGUAUAUGGGCUUGAAAAAGCUACGCUAAUCAAGCUCUCUUUAAAGAAAAAAGAAGUUGUGGUGUUGUUGUUUAGCAUGGCUUGACAAGGCAUGCAUGGACUUUGGCCUACAAAAAAUUGGGCAUGGCCCAUGGGCCUAUUGUGGGCCUCACUUUGAUGUUGGCUUGGUCCAUUAGCCAUCUUUACCCUUAACUAAUACGAAUUUCCAAGACUGCACUCCGUGAGUUUGUUCAAAUGUUGUAAAAUCUAAUAUCUUCUAGUCAUUGAUGAAAGAUAACUCCAAGUGGCUUGAAUAGAUCAUUGUACAUUUUGUACAUUGUGAGCUUCUAACAUUGAGUCAUAGAUCCAAAACUUUUCGUGACGAAUGUCUACUCAGACUAGUACCCAAUGAUUGUCUUAUAGGUUAACUGGAACAAAAGCCAACAUAUGAUAAAAAGUGACAUUAUCAUCUAUAUUAUGUCUAAAAUCCUUAAAUAUAAAAGGAACUAUAUUGAAUCAUAAAGUAAUACACACCAUAUCAAUGUCAACAGACUAUUUUAGUUUCAUAUCCUCCUACCCAUCAAUAUAUGUAGCUAUUAGGCUUCAUAUAAUCUAAUUAAUUAAGGUCACAUUUACAGUUAUUCCAUUAAAUCCUAAAGAAAAUCUAAUCAAUUCAUUACAUGAAAAUAAAUAUUAUUGUUUACUAUAGGAAAGUAAAUCAUUGAUUAUAAGUUUUUCACUUUAUUACCUAAAAAAGACAUCUAUACGCGUGCAAUCCUAAUACAAGGCCUUAAAUACUGCCCUUUCUUCUCUCUUAUCAAGUGAAUGUAUUCAUGGAUAUGAUGUAGAUAACAAGAAAACAUGUCAGAUUAUAGCAGAAGAAAAUAUACAAGUUCAACUAAAGCUAAUUAAAUAACGAUUGGCAACAAUUAGCUCUUCCCUUAGCUAUCACAUUGACUCUUUCUCCAAAAGUGCUUCAAAAUAAUUUUUUGAUUGUCAGAUGCCACGAUCUACUUUGGUGGUACCAGCAAACAAGUGCUUGAACUCAUUAAAUAGUGUUGGAUCAUCCAUUUCUCUAGUGGAUUUAUAUCCGCACUUGUCCUAUUGUCGAUCUCGAUGUUCGUUGAUUCCAUAGCAGGAGACUCUUGAUAUUCCUUACAUGCUUGAAAAAAGGAAUCAAGUAUGAACUUUUAAAUACAUAUGAUGUCCUAUACAGACAUACAAACUUACUUAGGCCAAGAGGUUCUUCCUUAAGGAUUUCCACUCAAUCUUCAAUAAGGUCUCUAUAUAAAUUGUAUAAUGAUAAUAGGGUAUGAUUAUGAUGAUCUCCAACAUCAUCAGGGUUCUGUCAAUAAUACUGCUGUACCGUACAUCCGCCUUGGCCGUACAGCAGCACACUAGUCUAUUGUUGUGGCUUCCUUUGCAUUUUUAGCUAGCUUGCUAAUUUUGAUGAAUUCCCAUUCACCAAAAGUAAUUUUAAUCCAUUGAGUAUGUACAUUUUGCUCAUUCCAUAAAAGUGAAGUCAGUUUAAAUCAAAUAAAUUACUAUAUUUGAUGCCCACAUGUAUUGCAGCAUCUUAAUUUUCCUUAUUCUGCUUGGUGUUUGAAUCAAUUUUGUUCACAGGAAGCUUGCAGGUCGCUUUGUAAGUUUCCAUUUUCUUUUAGAGUGCUAUUGGAAGAUGAUAUUGUUGCUGGAAUUUUUAGAGGAAGUCUUGCUAGAAAUCUUAUUGUUGGAGUACUUGCAUUAAUCUUUGGAAGUUUUGUUGGGUAACUUGGCUUGGUGGCCAGAAUUCUUAUUGUUUUUCUUAGAGUUUGAUUGGAAUUUGACUACAAUUUUAUACUUUGGGAUGACUUUUUCAAUUUGGGAUGUUUUAUUAUGUAUUGAUGGAGAUCACAUUGGAUAUUAGAUGUAUUUCUUUUUAAAUUAAUUUUUGGAUUGAAU